UGGGGAAUAUUGCACAAUGGGCGAAAGCCUGAUGCAGCGACGCCGCGUGAGGGAUGACGGCCUUCGGGUUGUAAACCUCUUUCAGCAGGAAGAAGCGAAAGUGACGGUACCUGCAGAAGAAGCGCCGGCUAACUACGUGCCAGCAGCCGCGGUAAUACGUAGGGCGCGAGCGUUGUCCGGAAUUAUUGGGCGUAAAGAGCUCGUAGGCGGCUUGUCACGUCGGUUGUGAAAGCCCGGGGCUUAACCCCGGGUCUGCAGUCGAUACGGGCAGGCUAGAGUUCGGUAGGGGAGAUCGGAAUUCCUGGUGUAGCGGUGAAAUGCGCAGAUAUCAGGAGGAACACCGGUGGCGAAGGCGGAUCUCUGGGCCGAUACUGACGCUGAGGAGCGAAAGCGUGGGGAGCGAACAGGAUUAGAUACCCUGGUAGUCCACGCCGUAAACGGUGGGCACUAGGUGUGGGCGACAUUCCACGUCGUCCGUGCCGCAGCUAACGCAUUAA
rnacentral:rRNA from 1 species